GACGAACGCUGGCGGCGUGCCUAAUACAUGCAAGUAGAACGCACAGUUUAUACCGUAGCUUGCUACACCAUAGACUGUGAGUUGCGAACGGGUGAGUAACGCGUAGGUAACCUGCCUGGUAGCGGGGGAUAACUAUUGGAAACGAUAGCUAAUACCGCAUAAUAUUAAUUAUUGCAUGAUAAUUAAUUGAAAGAUGCAAUUGCAUCACUACCAGAUGGACCUGCGUUGUAUUAGCUAGUAGGUGAGGUAACGGCUCACCUAGGCGACGAUACAUAGCCGACCUGAGAGGGUGAUCGGCCACACUGGGACUGAGACACGGCCCAAACUCCUACGGGAGGCAGCAGUAGGGAAUCUUCGGCAAUGGACGAAAGUCUGACCGAGCAAACGCCGCGUG
rnacentral:rRNA from 1 species